rnacentral:rRNA from 1 species
UACAGAGGUCUCAAGCGUUGUUCGGAUUCAUUGGGCGUAAAGGGUGCGUAGGUGGCGGGGUAAGUCAGGCGUGAAAUCUCGAGGCUCAACCUCGAAACUGCACUUGAUACUGCCUUGCUCGAGUACUGGAGAGGAGAUUGGAAUUUACGGUGUAGCAGUGAAAUGCGUAGAUAUCGUAAGGAAGACCAGUGGCGAAGGCGAAUCUCUGGACAGUUACUGACACUGAGGCGCGAAGGCCAGGGGAGCAAACGGG